AUUGAACGCUGGCGGCAUGCUUUACACAUGCAAGUCGAACGGCAGCGCGGGGCAACCUGGCGGCGAGUGGCGAACGGGUGAGUAAUAUAUCGGAACGUACCCAAGAGUGGGGGAUAACGUAGCGAAAGUUACGCUAAUACCGCAUACGAUCUAAGGAUGAAAGUGGGGGAUCGCAAGACCUCAUGCUCCUGGAGCGGCCGGUAUCUGAUUAGCUAGUUGGUGAGGUAAAGGCUCACCAAGGCGACGAUCAGUAGCUGGUCUGAGAGGACGACCAGCCACACUGGAACUGAGACACGGUCCAGACUCCUACGGGAGGCAGCAGUGGGGAAUUUUGGACAAUGGGCGCAAGCCUGAUCCAGCAAUGCCGCGUGAGUGAAGAAGGCCUUCGGGUUGUAAAGCUCUUUUGUCAGGGAAGAAACGGUAGGAGCUAAUAUCUCUUGCUAACGACGGUACCUGAAGAAUAAGCACCGGCUAACUACGUGCCAGCAGCCGCGGUAAUACGUAGGGUGCAAGCGUUAAUCGGAAUUACUGGGCGUAAAGCGUGCGCAGGCGGUUUUGUAAGUCUGUCGUGAAAGCCCCGGGCUCAACCCGGGAAUUGCGAUGGAGACUGCAAGGCUUGAAUCUGGCAGAGGGGGGUAGAAUUCCACGUGUAGCAGUGAAAUGCGUAGAGAUGUGGAGGAACACCGAUGGCGAAGGCAGCCCCCUGGGUCAAGAUUGACGCUCAUGCACGAAAGCGUGGGGAGCAAACAGGAUUAGAUACCCUGGUAGUCCACGCCCUAAACGAUGUCUACUAGUUGUCGGGUUUUAAUUAACUUGGUAACGCAGCUAACGCGUGAAGUAGACCGCCUGGGGAGUACGGUCGCAAGAUUAAAACUCAAAGGAAUUGACGGGGACCCGCACAAGCGGUGGAUGAUGUGGAUUAAUUCGAUGCAACGCGAAAAACCUUACCUACCCUUGACAUGUACGGAAGCUCGGAGAGAUCUGAGUGUGCUCGAAAGAGAGCCGUAACACAGGUGCUGCAUGGCUGUCGUCAGCUCGUGUCGUGAGAUGUUGGGUUAAGUCCCGCAACGAGCGCAACCCUUGUCAUUAGUUGCUACGCAAGAGCACUCUAAUGAGACUGCCGGUGACAAACCGGAGGAAGGUGGGGAUGACGUCAAGUCCUCAUGGCCCUUAUGGGUAGGGCUUCACACGUCAUACAAUGGUACAUACAGAGGGCCGCCAACCCGCGAGGGGGAGCUAAUCCCAGAAAGUGUAUCGUAGUCCGGAUCGCAGUCUGCAGCUCGACUGCGUGAAGUUGGAAUCGCUAGUAAUCGCGGAUCAGCAUGUCGCGGUGAAUACGUUCCCGGGUCU
rnacentral:rRNA from 1 species